GUGCCAGCAGCCGCGGUAAUACGAAGGGGGCUAGCGUUGCUCGGAUUUACUGGGCGUAAAGGGCGCGUAGGCGGACAGUUAAGUUGGGGGUGAAAGCCCGGGGCUCAACCUCGGAAUUGCCUUCAAUACUGGCUGUCUUGAGUGUGAGAGAGGUGUGUGGAACUCCGAGUGUAGAGGUGAAAUUCGUAGAUAUUCGGAAGAACACCAGUGGCGAAGGCGACACACUGGCUCACUACUGACGCUGAGGCGCGAAAGCGUGGGGAGCAAACAGGAUUAGAUACCCUGGUAGUCC
rnacentral:rRNA from 1 species